rnacentral:lncRNA from 1 species
ACACGGACACUAAUAUUUCACUAGUGUGUCAUUGACGCUGCAGCAAGACUACAUUACCGUUUUGAAGUUAAAUAAAACAUAGAGAUAAAUCUCUGAGUUUAACAUGUUUUAUUUGGGAAGCAACAACUGCAGUUCGGGGGAUAGACACAGAACGGUGGCCUCUCGUAUGUCCAAAGAACAGAGAAGUUUGGAGGUUUUAUGAAGAGGAGAAAUGCUGUGUAUUGUUUUGAAAUAAAGUUCCUUGGCACUAGUAAGGUUUUGGGGAUGCUGGCGAACACUGAUUUGUGGGUGAUGGUGUUAGAUUUCAGCAGGUUGUUCCAGUGGCUGUUAGAUAAAACUGGUUUCAGGUUACACCUGGCAGUUCCAGCAGCCAGGUCUGCAGAGAAUCGUAUGCUUGAAGGAACGUCUUGUGCCUCAAGCGCUUUACCCGCAACCUCUGGACUCUGUUUUAGUUGAGUGUGACAAGAAAGACCCAAGGCGUAUGAAGCUUUGACCCUGUUUUGUAAACUCCCUUUGAUGCGGUCAGAGUUCAUUUGGGGAAACUUCUGGGAAUAGUCAACACGGCCGGUUGGAAACGGAGGUGGAAUUCAGUGGUUACAGCAGAAGCCUGCACUCUAUCGUCCAGUGAGAGCAGCCCAGGGAUGGGCACUCAUGAAGGAGAGUGAUGCUGCCCACAGGAAGCAGGCCAGUGCUGAGCAGAGAGAACCACAAGAAAAGCAGACAGGUCUGCCCGCGUUUGAGCUGGUAUCACUUGCCCAGCAGGCAGGCAUGGGGUGACACAUGACUGGGCGAGCCACUCGCUGGGUGGGGCAUUCACACAGGUCAGCUCAAACCAGAUGGAGCCUGGGACUGUGACCAAGGAGCGAGUGAAGGUCAAAGCCACACAUGGGGCUGAGGGGCCAGGUGGCCGCCUUAUGAGAUCGAAGGCGGGAAGCUUUGGAACAGGGCAAAAAGGGGAGCCCAGGGUGAGGGGAGAGGGCCGAGCAGCUCGGAUCUCUGAUGGUGAGCUGUGCAGAGAUGGGGAAGCGCCUCUUUUCCUCUUUCAUGUGGGUGUCAGGGGGGGUCCAGGCCUGAGGGAGCCAAGCUGGAGGGUGCAGGGUUUCGCGUCUGCCUCGGAACUGGAUGUUUGAAAGCAAAGGUGAACGGCCCAGCAGGCCCGCUGGGGCACUGGGAGAACUGGUUUUUGCCAUUUUAGGAAUUGUUUGGCUUUGGCUUUUUUUCUCACUAAGAAAUUGGAAUCUGAAAGAGCCUUUCAGCUUAUUGUUGAAAAUCCAUCAGGACCUGAAAAUUAGAGACCGGGCCUGAGCUUUCAGCACAUUUAAACUCACGGGAGCGAGGUGGAAAAGCCACAGGAAGUGGAUGCACUAAUUUAGAAAAUAGGGAGAGGGAAGACAGCGCCUGUCCCCUCCCUGAUUGACCACAGGUAACCCCUGGUCUCUCUGUCUACUGAGGCUGAGUGGCCUGUUCUGGGUCUGACUACCCUACCCUGGGGCCUGACUCUGCCCCGCCCCUCGCAACACUCAACAAACGCUUGUGGAAGGAGUGAACAAAUGACAAGUCACGAAACCUAAAUACAGUGUACUAUUUUAUGGUGUCUUAAACCAUCACGCAAUUCCACGGGUAUGCAGCACAAAGAAUUGAGAAGUAAUUCCGAUAAGAGCAGGGGAAUAGUAAUUGAAACUGACACCCAUGUGACACUUUACAGUUUACAAAGUGCAUGGGUCGCAAUUCCAGAGUCUUCAGCUUUGGAGGAGACUGAGGUGCGGGACAUGGAAAAGAAGGUCAUUCUCUUGGAGCCCCAACAAUGACCAGGAGAAAUUCAUUUGGCGGUAAAACCACACGAACCCUAUUACAUCACCAAGCCCUCACCGUUUCCAGCACCCAGGGUCUCUACAAAGAGGCAAGCUGGGACUGAAAUCUCUCCCGAGUGUGGAAGACGGACGGGAGCAGCAGCCGGACAGCACAGCUCAAGGCCGAGAGGCUCACUGGGUGACUCGGGCCGCUUUGGGGUGGCUGUGAGAAGCGAAGGGAGGCUGACUCGGGGUGUGGUGGGGAGUGAAGCCACCACCUUAUUGCCUAGGCCUUCCCUUGAUGCACUUGGAAAAUAAGUUGCUCUUUCUUCACCGGGUGGGGACAUUAAUUAAUGUUUGCAAAAGUCUUUAUGAUCCUUGUCAAAAGGUGUUCGGCCGGCUCUAAUUAUCCAGGUUUCAGCUGCCACCGCUUCCAUCUCAGCACAGCAUCUCUGCCCUGGAAGAUGUCAAACAAGAUUGCUGUUGUCAGGAUGUGCAUCCAGCUCAUGUGGAUUUCUAUCUGCAUCUCCAAAUACUGCCCAGAUUCCAAAGCCCUGCAAGGGGAUGGUAUCUUGUUUGGGGAGAUGAGACCUGUGCCCCGCCCAGCUCCACCCCGUAAGAAGGCAGCUGCCUGGGAGGUAUAAUUUGAUAAGUUUCUGGAAGGACUCACACAUCCAAAACCAACUCCCCAUGUCUUCUCAUGGGGGCCGGAAAUUCCUCCACUAAAAAUUCACUCCUUCACGGGUCUUCGAUGCUUUCUCAAGUAGUCUAGGACACGGUGGUGGAGGGAGAACCAGCCCAGGAGCCAGGCAGCCUAGCCCUGGGUUUCCUCCUUGUGUGGGUGCUGGCUCUGCCCUUACCGGCCUGGUGACCUGGAUAAACUCAUUCUCUUUCUUUCUCAUUUUUUCCACCUAAAAUGGCAACGCUAAUGCCUGUCUCACGUGCUGUCGUGCAGAUUAGAUGAGAUAAUGGAUGUGAACGCCAAGUGUUGCAGAGACGUAAGCGGCAUUAUCGUUACUGAAAUGUCCCAGCCAGAUCAUCCCCAGGAGGGAUUAAUGGCCCACCAGGACAGGUGGGCACCUGGGGUGGUCGGAAGAGCCAGGAGAACCACAGCAGGGAAAAAGACUUCAGGAAAGGAAAGGAGAGAGACCCCACCGCUGGCACAACCACAGAAGUUUUGGGGAUGAGGAGGGGCUCUAGAUAUUUCCCCACUUCCCCAGACAGCCGUGUGCCCUUACAGGGGAACUGAAGCUGCCCACCCGGCUCAGGCCUGACCCCCCAGGUACCUGCUGCCCCAGGUGUGCGGGAGGAGGGUGAUGGCAGACGGACACCCACCUGGUGAAAGAGCCAGUCAGAAAAAUAACUGAGCGUGCCUGGGUGCAUGCAGACACAUCCCCAGGUAAUUUAGACAAAAAGGCCCCGUGUUGGCACGAGUAGCCCAUGGAUGUCAGACCAGAGUAAUUGCUUUCUUUGUCAGAAUUUCCUGCAUAAUUUCCUCUCCUUUGUUUAGCUGAGAGAACCUGGCCUUGCAUCUGGGAGUCUGCUUGCCAAACAUGAUUGGGUUCUUAGAGAUGAAAGACACAGAGUGAGCUAUUUUCCAUAAACACACUGGCACAUGUGUUAAUUACUGCAAGGAGAAAACCAGCCCCCAUGUUUCACGUGGGAGGUGCGUGGUGCUGUGGGGGGAGCGAUGGGUGGAGGGAGGACACCCUUCAGGAUCACAGUAGCUACUUCUCACCAGGACACUGCUGCCAUCCAGCCUUUGUUCUGGGCAUUUUGCGUUAAAAAUCUCAUUUAAUCUUCACAACAGGCCUGUGAGGCAGAAUCCAGGAAUGGAAAGAACUCGGGUUUAGAAGCCAAACAUUGCUGGAUUUAGUUCUGUCCUCAGCCACUUACUGAGUGAACGGGGCAAGCUACUUGCUUACUGGAGCUUCAGUUUUCCCGUCUGUUAAAUGGAAAUAAUACUGGCUUCAGUGUGUUGUGAGAAUUCCCUAUAGUAAUGACUGUGAAACAGCUGAAACCCUGCAGGCAGGUGGUAAAUGAUAGCUCUCGUGUUGCCCUUUAUGGAUAAGGAUGCAAGAAGUUUAGGAUGGUUGGCCAAUGCCACACUGCUGGUCAGCAGCAGAGCUAGGUCCGUCUCCCUGCCAAAGGCAGGCAUUUUGCUCAGAGGCCACCAAACCCAUACCCUUGGUGGCCAACAUGGCAGCGGCCGGAUCGGAGUCUCCCCCCAGUACUUUGUAAGCCCAUUGAGGGUAAGACUAUGCAUCAGAUCUCUUGGCAUCCUUGGUAUCCUUGGCAGGUCUCUUGGUAUCCUUGGCAUCCUCUCUCACAGUGCCGUAAAUGUUCCUUAAAUGGAUGAAAGCAUUCAGGAGCACCUAGAAUAGAUUGAGCAGAUAACCGCAUAACAGGUGUCCACUGUGUGCAUAUAACUUCAGCCUCUUCUGCGUUGUUGGGACAUGAAGUCCCUUCGCUUUGCAUGGAAAAUAGUCUAGGCACCCCCUGGCUGACUUGCCACGAUGCCUGUCCUCAGGACAGGAAGAAGGAUGGGCCCAAGGAGGAGAAUUGCGUCAGAGGUCAAGAAAUGAACUCCAGCAGAAGUAGCACAAACAGGGAACCCAUAAGGAAGCUUGUGAUGAACAAACAUAGGGCAGAUGAAGUGGAAUAUUGGAUGGAAACACACCUUGAAAAUGCACAGACCUGUGGCAAGGGAAGGGAUCACUGCUUAGAUCAAUAGCAGGGCCUUGGACCAUGGUUAGGGGGAUGCUUGUUAGUGCUUCCCUGGGCUGCAGGGAGCCACGGAAAACAGGCCAGGGCAGGAGACCGGCCAGUGACUCACACGGCGGAACACAGGUUUAGAGGAGCAAAAUCUGAAGGGCCCCUCUCCUUCUCCCCACCUGUUUUCUGUCACGUGCUCUGGACCUGAGCCCACAGUGGGGCAGCUCCCUCGGCCUCCAGUGGAAGGCGGAAGCACUUGACAAAAAGCCUCCAGUUAACCGGGGCAAGCAGCAGGGUGGGGCUCAGGCCUUCUGGCCAAGUCCUUGUCUCCCUCGAGUCUCCAGCUUUCUCCUGAGAGGCAAAGCCCUCGCCAGGCAGGCUUUAAUAAGCAGUAGUGCCCUGCACCCCUGCCCAAGUCCCCGGACCCCAUGCUGGCAGGCUACUGCAGCCCCUAUCUUGCCUGGCACAUGGCACAUGGGGUGUCUUGGCAUGUGGGGUGGUGCUGUAUGCCUGUAGUCACAGACUGGCACUCACUGCAAGAGCUUCCAAUGUGUGAGAGCUGAGGCUAGAGUUCCUUGCUGCCUGUGAAGAUGGUGCUGUGACCGGAGCAGGCCUCAUAAUGAGCCGGUGAUUUCAUCCCCUCCAGACAGAAGACAAAGUCUGUGCCUUCUGGGCAAAACAUUAGCUGACCCGUGACACUGCUCAGACCCCAGAGGCCUGGCUCCCGGCCUGCCGGGAGCAGUCACUCCAAACAGCUGCGGCUGUGAGGCCUUCAGAGAGUGGCUAAUUAGGGUCUCACCUGGCCAGCUCCAAUCUGCAACCACAAGCUCGAGGCCCAGCUGCCUCUCCCCAGUGCCUCUGGGGCUCCGCUGCCUCCCUCACAGAUGGCGAGUGACUUCCUUGAUCUGUAUAAACAAGAAUUCUGCCUUAUUCAAACAGCAAUGAUAGAUUGGAGGAUCUACUAUGUACAACACACUGUGCUUGCAUCCAAUGGUAGAGUUAGAAAAAAAAAUGUGAUGUCCUGUGAUGUUAAGAAGUGAAGAACCCCAUGGGGAGGUAGCAGAAAACAUCCAACAGUGAGUGGCAACAGGUGUGCUGGUCACCGAGGGCUUCUUGGGCAAGGUCAUUCAUGAACUGGGUCUUGCAGCACAGAUGUGCUGGGAGUGGAAGAGGACACAGUUAGAUGCCACUUUAUCCUCACUAUAGUGGCACAAAUGGAGAAGGCUGAUGAUGCUGUGUGCUGGGGAAGAGGUGGGUGUGUAGGUUGUCUACCUGUUGGCCGUGGGAGUGUAAAUGAGUCACCCACUCAGGAAAAUAGCUGAACAACCCCCAGGGGUACAUUCCUGUACACCACCACCCAGCAAUUCCACUCGUAGGUAUACACUUCAGAAAACUCUUACACAAAAAUAUUCACAGCAGGACUGUUCAAACGCCCACCAACAGAAGAAUGGAUAAACAGGUGUGUUCACACCAUGGAGUAUCAGACAGCGUCCAAAGAGAGGAAUUACGGCCACCCUAGCAAUAUGGACAAUGCUUAUCAACUUACUACUAAGUGAGAAAAGUAAGUCCCAAAAGAGUACAAACAGCAUGACACCCUCUCAAAGAAGGCAAAGAGAUGUCAAAUAUAAUAUACACAUUUUAGGACUCCAAGGAAUAGGUAAGAUGAGAGGACAGGAUAGGAAAAUAGGCCAGGAGCUGUGGCUCAUGCCUGGAAUCCCAGCACUUAGGUAGGCCGAGGCAGUUAGAUCACUUGAGCCCAGGAGUUCAAGACCACCCUGGACAAUAUAGCGAAACCUCGUCUCUACAAAAAAUACAAAAAUUAGCCAGGUGUGCUGGCAUGUGCCUGAAGUCCCAGCUACUUAGGAGGCUGAAGCGAGAGGAUUGCUUGAGCCUGGAAGGUCAAGGCUGCAGUGAGCUGUGAUCGUGCCACUGCACUCCAGCCUGGGUAAUAGAGAAAGAUCCUGUCUCAAAAAAAAAAGGAAAACACAGAAAGGAGGCACACAGGAUUCGGGGUGACAGCUAUCUUGGGAUAGCUCCCUGCAGCCCAGGGAAGCACUAGGGAGGGAAUGGGAUGGGGUAGGCCACACAGCUGAUGUCAGCUCUUGCUAAGGCCCAGCUUUCAGGCUGGGUGGUGGUUUCACAGGUGACUAUUCUGUUACUUUAAAAUGUGAUCUAUUAGCACAGCUAGGGACGUAGGACUAUGCCUGUAAUAGCAAAAGUAAUAAAAUGCAUCAAAGCCCAGGA